CGGAGCAGAGGCGCAUCCGCGCGGAGGAGCCGAGGCGAAGAAGGCGAUGCAGGUACUUCUUCAUCCACGCCUUGCAUUUUUAUCCUCCUCCCACCUCCCGUUCGAAUCCGCGUCGGGCCACCACAUCCCAGCUCCACCUCCCCCCUCGGGCCGCCGCAUCCUAGCUGCCUCUAUUGCUUCUUCAGUGACGGUGCAUUCAGCCAUAUUGCGCAUCCUCUCACUCCGUAAGGAACCAGUUCGCUCGUCAUCUUCCUCGCGUCUGACCUCAUCUCUACCCCCACCGUCGUUCGUGCCUUCAUACUCCGUUCCCUGUGGCCGCCAUCGGGACGUGCUGCUAUUCGCUCCCGAGGUGGCCACGAGGCUCUCCGUGCCCAAGCUGCCUCUACGCACUGGCAGCACCGCCUGCUGUGCGUGCCUCCUGGUGUACCCGCCGCAGGGUCCUAGCCAUGGCAAGCCCACGAAUAGAGAAAGCCAACAACAUAUUCCGCCAUUCCUCAUUCUAUGUUCUGAUGUUUCUUCCCACAUCUUCCAUCGGCCAAUGUGACAUUUUGAAGAACAUAGCGUCGCCUUUGCUAAAGACUCCAUCCGUGCGUGCUAGCUAUUUGAUGAUACGCCUCAGCAAAAUGUGUUGUCCAGGUCGCCCUGUUGUGUUGCACUGUUGCACACGGUCAUGUUGUAUGACGCAUGCACAAUUGCAUACAUGCUUAGCCACGCCCGCACUAUACGCUGUUGAUCCUCUUCAUCCUCCACAUGCUAAUGCGGUAUUUCAAAUAUGCCAUGCUUUAUAUAUGUGCAUAUAUUGAUGCAUACACACACGCACAUAUGUAUUUUUGUGUGUGCGCAUAUGUAUGUAUGGAUACACACAUCAGAGUAAUAGGAAUGUUUAUAUGUCAAGAGGAAAGAGCUGAUUGAAUUUGUAUUUUCCGUAGUGGAGAAGGGAACGUAACAAAUGUUAACUAACUACUAUAAAUGAAACACAUAAAAGGUUAGUCAAAUAUGUACCAUAUAAACCCAAAGGAAAUGGUUGUAAUUUUUAAAAAAAAACUAUUAUGUAAAAAAUAUAAAUCUAGAAGUAAGAUUGUAACACGUACCUGUCUUCGAGCGAGGUCUUCUUUUUUUAGACUAAUCGGGAUGAAGAGUAGAACAAUAAAAUGAUAAUGUGACAGAGAGGUAAGGGUAAACAUUAGCUUUCAAUCGGUUGCAGUUAAAAAAAGUGCUAAUGUAACUGGCAAACCUUUUAAAAAGAAAUGUCAUAUUAAGCCAUAUAUGCCACCAUUUUCUCAACACAUAUAUUCAGUAUUUGUGCAACCUUUUGUACCGGUUGACCAUGAUAUUCUUCUAAUCUGAACGCCAAAGGUUGUGAAGACACCUGAAUCGACGAUUUCAUUUUAUUAGCCAUAUCAUAGGAAGGAAUUGAGGGCAAGCAAAAAACAAGCAUAUUGGGAUUAUAUGGUUACUUUCCAACAUGCUUGUUUUAUAUAUCAUCGUAUCUCUAUUUGUUUCUAUCAAAAAAAAACCAUCAACAUUAUAGUUAUAAUAGCCUUAUAUAUAGUAUCCCUCCUUUAAUAUACAUAUUUUUCAGGGGCGAACCCAACAAAAAGUUUGAGUGGGGCCCAAAACCUGAGUGGGGUCUAAAUAAAUACCUAUUUACUAAUGGACCUUUAUAGCUAUAGUGAAUAAGAUAAAAACUCCAUUAGAAUCAGAAAAUUGAGUCAGCCCAACGUGAGUCCGCCCCUGAUAUUUUUGGUAGAAUCGUACAAACUAGCGCGCGUAGGAAGCGCGUUAGACACUAGUGUUAUGUAAUAGUGGGCUGGACGAGCUGUGGUUUCGUGAGAGUAUAAGUACUUGAACAAUGUAAUAGGCUGGUAACUUUUUGAGAAGAGCAAAAUAUACGCCGCCACUCCGUCCGGCGUUCGUCUCCCCUCCCCCACGCCAUAGCCAUACCUCCCUAACACGAGGUUCCAUCACCCACAAUCACAAAAUGGAAGCUUCAAAGAAUGUCUUGACCACGUUUGGCACUUCGAUAGGUAGGCUUGCCCAUACUCUGGUCUGAUCAGUGUGUUGCAACCAUAGCCAACGUGUUUGAAGUGCCAUGCCAGCUAUAGAGAAGUUUUUGACCCCAAGUUCACUAGAAGAUUUUGGCUGACAAAUAUAAUGCCAAGCCACUACCGCCUUCCCAUUUGUUGAGUUAUCUGAGCCUGUCCAAAAGAAUAUACGAGCAAUGGUAUUAAUUCCUUUCUUAACCCAAGUAGGAACUUGCUCAGCCAUCAACGCAAAAUUUGGAAGUUCCAGCAGUGUGGAUUGAAUUAGAAUAAGGUGACCACUUUUUUCUAACAAGGAUCUUGCCAAGCUGGUAGUUUUUUGGCCACUUUAUCAACUAUAGGUCGAAGGUGGGAAUUUGGAAUCAUUCUAGUUGAUAGCGGCAACUCCAAGGUUAGUUUGGUAGCCACAAAAUCGAAGGGGAUUUUGAAUAAAGAAGUGAUUUUAGUCUCUCUAAUCUCUUCCGGUUUUUAAACUCCUAAACUAGGCCUAAAUAUUUGAUCGGGGUCGAAAAGAGCUAGCAGUUAAAAAUACGAGGAAUUAGCACAAAACUUUCUAUAUUAGAGUGGUUUGGUACUAACACAUAGACAUUAAAGUCGAUACGUUCAGAUAAGAUCUCAAUUGGUUGGCCUGUGCUCUUGACGAUCCGAGUUGUGCCCGUCAUAAAAUCUCUCACCCAUGCAAGCAAAUCGCAUGAAAUUUAACGUAAGAAAAUGAAACUUGAGGCACCUAGAUGCAUCAUACAUGCAUGCUAUCAUCUCCGUACGAAACACCGCAAGGUCAUUUCCCUCUUUCCGUGCAGAAACUAGACUUGCUUCUGAGUGCAUCUAGAUGGUUAGGUUUUCAGAUCAAUAAGCUCUGUUACUAGGACACAUGAACAUACAAUAAGCUAGUGCUGCUGCUGUUUACAUCUUCGUUGCUCGUUGGACGGGUUAGCCAUUGCGAUUUGAUAUACACACACAUAUAGUAAUUUGCAUAUAGCAUAGAUAAUAAGCUAACAAAGAAACUUGUACAAUAUAGUUGUAUAUUAAUUAACUCCAAUAGACAUCACAAUAAUUUUUCAUAUAUGAUAUAUAUGGAGAAACAAGACUUACAUGAUUACAUCUCUGUUAACUUGAACUUGCUUCCACGAAGACCGCCCAAAUUAAAUGAUUCUAUUAUAUAUAAGAGAGCUAAUCUUCAUGGUCAAUUCCUUCUCAAUACAUAUGAUCAUAUAAAUUUGUGGAAAAUCAUAUUCUAUUCUAUUCUAUUCUAUUCUAUAAGCGUGUGUCGGUGCCCUGAAUAUGCUUUGGGCACUCAUUCCUGCUAUGUCAAAGUGAGACCCUAGUGGCCACCGUUGAAGAUCUCACGGGCAGCCGACCUAACAUGGGGCUGAGGCCCACCAUAUGGAGUCGUGGCUAGACCAGGUUCGUCUCUUGGGCUGGACGACCGUCUACAUCAAGCCCCAUAAAGGGAGGAACCGACAACUUCAAGUCUGGGAUCCUGCAUAUAGGACCAGGACCUCCUUGUGACCCGACGAAUCUCCGGACAAAGGGAUCCGGAUAGAACAUAAAGCCACGGAGGAGAAGGCACUCUCCGGUUACAGCACCAAGGCUUCAGAAUGGUUCCAAGAAUGGGAAAUAACACCCGAACCUCAGGCCACGUGAGGUCCGGUAUCGCCACGUAUCCAGGCGUGGGUGGCCGAAGCCCGGACCCCCUCGAGUGCGAUCCGGGCCCAUGAUCAGGGAAUGCUUGGGAAUACCAUGUCGUCGCUUAUUCUCGGGCCUAUCCCUUAUCCAGGCAGGGGCAUGAAGAGACGGAUGGAGAAGACGAGAUGACAUGAUCGUUACACCCUACGCACGAGAGCGUAUCAGGCUACACCGCAACCUACAUCAAGACCUGAGUUCCGAUUAGACGGGGCAAGGUGACAGGAUAAGGACGACAGAAGAUCGUGCAACGUCCAAGAAGGGAUACAGACUCAUGAAGAUCUAGCGUUGUCAGCUCUACCCAAUUGUUUCUCGUUCCAUAUUGUACUCUCUUAGGCCCAUCGGUCAGAGCCAAAACUCCCUUGUAUGUGCCUUCCUUGGACUAUAAAAGGGAGAGCACUUGCUCUGUAGCAGGGAGAGGUCAAUCUAACACUCGGACCUUCGACUCCCUAACUCUAAAGCAAUAUAACUCAUAGUGAAUGUGAGAUACUAUGCUCCGGUGGCCUGAAACGCUCUAAACCCUUGUGUUCUUGUGUCCAUCUAGAAGGCCAGACAAUCAACUAAACCUACUCCUCAUCAGAGUACCAGGGCGGAUGCAAUCUACCACCCGGCCGGAGGAUUCGCCCCUGCAACAACGUGUUUUGACAAUUUUUGUAGUUGAAAACACUAUCUUAGUGGUUGCAGGUUAGGCAAGAGGGACUACCAUUAAUCUUAAUAAUCUAUUAAUCCGUAGAACUUUUACCCAAUUUAAUGAGUCCUUUCAUCAGCGAGUGAUGGUAAUGUAUUUAGCUCUAGGUGAUGUAUACACCAAGCUGAUAAUGUGGAAGUUGGCGUUUUAAUUGGAACUUUCUUGAUUGAAAAAUCAGUGGUGUAACUUUGAUAUAUCAAAAGUGUCUGUUCUUGGAUUCAAAGAAACAGAGAGCGAUAAAAGCUCUAUCGCAAAGCUAAAACGAUCAUCUAACUCAAUUAGUUGUUGAUCAACCGUUACAUUAAACACAUCUACUUUAUAAUAGUGAAGAGUUACAGUGUUACCACGCUUGUCACUGUAUUACGUCGCCAUAGCAAGCUUGAUUCCAAUAUGCUCCAUCCAUCCACAG
rnacentral:lncRNA from 1 species